rnacentral:rRNA from 1 species
GAUGAACGCUAGCUACAGGCUUAACACAUGCAAGUCGAGGGGCAGCAUGGUCUUAGCUUGCUAAGGCCGAUGGCGACCGGCGCACGGGUGAGUAACACGUAUCCAACCUGCCGUCUACUCUUGGACAGCCUUCUGAAAGGAAGAUUAAUACAAGAUGGCAUCAUGAGUCCGCAUGUUCACAUGAUUAAAGGUAUUCCGGUAGACGAUGGGGAUGCGUUCCAUUAGAUAGUAGGCGGGGUAACGGCCCACCUAGUCUUCGAUGGAUAGGGGUUCUGAGAGGAAGGUCCCCCACGUUGGAACUGAGACACGGUCCAAACUCCUACGGGAGGCAGCAGUGAGGAAUAGUGGUCAAUGGGCGAGAGCCUGAACCAGCCAAGUAGCGUGAAGGAUGACUGCCCUAUGGGUUGUAAAAUUCUUUUAUAAAGGAAUAAAGUCGGGUAUGGAUACCCGUUUGCAUGUACUUUAUGAAUAAGGAUCGGCUAACUCCGUG